rnacentral:rRNA from 1 species
AUACGGAGGGUGCAAGCGUUAUUCGGAAUCACUGGGCGUAAAGGACGCGUAGGCGGGUUGGCAAGUCAGAUGUGAAAUCCUACAGCUUAACUGUAGAACUGCAUUUGAAACUGCUAACCUAGAGUAUGGGAGGGGGAGAUGGAAUUGGUGGUGUAGGGGUAAAAUCCGUAGAUAUCACUAGGAAUACCGAAAGCGAAGGCGAUCUCCUGGAACAUAACUGACGCUAAGGCGUGAAAGCGUGGGGAGCAAACAGGAUUAGAUACCCUAGUAGUCC